CCCGAGUGCUGGGAUUACAGACAUGUGUCACCACACGCAGCUCUUUUGAGAUUUUAACUGCCACCCUCCAAAAUGCUCUGCCUGGUGACAUUCAGACCACCACGUGAGCCCGGUAGGAAACCCAGCACUGCAACCAGGCCUGCCUCACGCAUACUUCACAUACAGAGUCACACUGGCUAUGACACGGAGGCCCCCAUGUGCCAAGGCUGCACCACCCCUCGAGUGCCCAUACAUGGACAGGAAGCACGGCCCUGGCCAUGCUCUGUGAGGUCCUGGCCACUUCGACCUCACAAUGUCCUGCAUCUAUAAGAGGCCCAGGGCUCGGCCCUGCCUCACAGCCCACGAAGUUCCACCUCCUCACAGGUAGGCUGGUUCAGCUGAGGUGGUGCCCCUGCUCUGAGCCAAUUCCAGGCCAAGUUCUCCUCGAACCACGGCCAGAUACAGAUGCUGCUGCAGCCCAAGCUGGAGCAGAUGCCACUGUAGACGCAGCGGUAGACGCAGCCAUAGACGAAGGUGGAGAUGCCAUCACAGUUGGAGACAAAGGUGCUGCCGCCGCAGGUACACCCGGAGGUGCAGAAGACGCUAACUGCAGAAGAGCAAGUCCACCGUACUCCUGGUGAAGACUUUGCCAGACCUCAAGAUCGUCUUGCCACCUCUCACACUGCCACCUUGCACUGAAACAGGAGCCUGUUAAGGAACAAUGCCGCUUGUUGAUAAAUGUUAAACUCAUCCCACUCA